rnacentral:rRNA from 1 species
GACGAACGCUGGCGGCGUGCUUAACACAUGCAAGUCGAACGGAAAGGCCCUGCUUUUGUGGGGUGCUCGAGUGGCGAACGGGUGAGUAACACGUGAGUAACCUGCCCUUGACUUUGGGAUAACUUCAGGAAACUGGGGCUAAUACCGGAUAGGAGCUCCUGCUGCAUGGUGGGGGUUGGAAAGUUUCGGCGGUUGGGGAUGGACUCGCGGCUUAUCAGCUUGUUGGUGGGGUAGUGGCUUACCAAGGCUUUGACGGGUAGCCGGCCUGAGAGGGUGACCGGCCACAUUGGGACUGAGAUACGGCCCAGACUCCUACGGGAGGCAGCAGAGGGGAAUAUUGCACAAGGGGCGGAAGCCUGAUGCAGCAACGCCGCGUGCGGGAUGACGGCCUUCGGGUUGUAAACCGCGUUCGCCUGUGACGAAGCGUGAGUGACGGUAAUGGGUAAAGAAGCACCGGCUAACUACGUG